CACACAAACAAAUUACAUCGGCACCAGGAGAUCGCUCCCAACACUCAGAGCUCAGGGGUAAUUCGGUGCAGGAGGGAGCUCGAUAACUGUUCUGGUUUCUUUGUUGCCCAUCAUCAGCUGACCAGGCCGGAUCGCUGCUCAGAGCCACAGAAGAUAUGCCUGGUUACCCAACCCUGACAGAAAGUGUUAGUCACACUCAGGAGAGAUCAUGGAAAAAGCGAAUGCAGAUACCACUGGCCUGAGCCCAGAAAAGCAGAGAAUCGGCUUCAGCUCAAAACCUGGAUAGAAAAUCUGUGAAAAAGUACCUGGGAAAUAAAGAACUGAAACCAGA